GGGCUACACACGUGCUACAAUGGCGAUGACAGAGAGUUAAUCUCUAAAAGUCGUCUCAGUUCGGAUUGUCCUCUGCAACUCGAGGGCAUGAAGUUGGAAUCGCUAGUAAUCGCGGAUCAGCAUGCCGCGGUGAAUACGUUCCCAGGCCUUGUACACACCGCCCGUCACACCAUGGGAGUUGGGUUCACCCGAAGGCCGUGCGCCAACCUGCUUGCAGGGGGCAGCGGACCACGGUGAGCUCAGCGACUGGGGUGAAGUCGAAACAAGGUAGCCGU
rnacentral:rRNA from 14 species